AUUGAACGCUGGCGGCGGGCCUAACACAUGCGAGUCGAGCGGAUGAAGGGAGCUUGCUCCUGGAUUCAGCGGCGGACGGGUGAGUAAUGCCUAGGAAUCUGCCUGGUAGUGGGGGAUAACGUCCGGAAACGGGCGCUAAUACCGCAUACGUCCUGAGGGAGAAAGUGGGGGAUCUUCGGACCUCACGCUAUCAGAUGAGCCUAGGUCGGAUUAGCUAGUUGGUGGGGUAAAGGCCUACCAAGGCGACGAUCCGUAACUGGUCUGAGAGGAUGAUCAGUCACACUGGAACUGGGACACGGUCCAGACUCCUACGGGACGCAGCAGUGGGGAAUGUUGGACAGUGGGCGAAAGCCUGAUCCAGCCAUGCCGCGUGUGUGAAGAAGGUCUUCGGAUUGUAAAGCACUUUAAGUUGGGAGGAAGGGCAGUAAGUUAAUACCUUGCUGUUUUGACGUUACCAACAGAAUAAGCACCGGCUAACUUCGUG
rnacentral:rRNA from 1 species